CAAAUGCCGAUGUAACACGGCUUUUUGAUGGCGAGCCUGGCCAUUUGGUCCCAUCAGCCUCUCAUUUUCUUGUCGAAAGUGACUUGUUCAUGGUGGCGGGGAGAAUGCUAGGCCACUCUUUCCUUCACGGAGGACCGUCCUUGUCUGGACUCAGCCCUGCUGUUGUUCAUGUACUGCUUGGUGGGAGUCCUGAAACGGCAACUCUAACUUUGGAGGAUUGUCCAGACCUGGACAUCAGAGAAAUAAUAAGGCUUCUCGGAGGAGAAUCCACACUAUCGGAGAAGGAUGCAGCAAGUGUCCAGGAAUUGGCCUACGCCUGGGACCUUCCAUCCAUAACUGAGACCAAAGGAGAUGGAUUUUUGAGAAGUUAUUGAUCCAUGCUGUUAUCGGCCGUGUCACAAGACAAAUAAAACAGCUCAGGCGAGGUCUCAAAGAAACCCCAAUGUGGACAGUACUGACCCAACGACCUGACACAGUGGACAGGCUUCUCCCAAAAGAGGGAUCUGGGAAUAUAAACCCUGAGGUACUUCUUCAGCGAAUCACUUGGCCCCGUGAGGACGACGAAGACGCAGAUUAUUCAGUCGCCACGAUAUGCUGCAUUACAGGCUAUCUUCGACAGUUCAUUGCUCAUGCUACACCAACCGAAUUGACUGAUCUGGUCAAAUUUUGGACUGGAUGGGAGAUCCUUCCAAGGAGCCUCUCAGUCGAAGUAGUCACUGGCAGAUACCCCACAGCGUCCACCUGCUUUGAGGCCUUGCGGGUCCCAGGGCAUUACAAAGAUUAUACAUCUUUCAGAACUGAUGUUCUCGCCAGCAUUUCAUCGUGCCAAACAGGAUUUGGUCUGGUGUGACCAAAGACUUUCACAGAUUCUUGGGACGAACAGAGAAACUAGCUGCUGUUUCAUUUGGGUUGGAGCCAACACACAUCUAAUCAGGCUGAAGGAAUAUUGCAUUCUGACAAAAGAACACACACUCUUAAACACACACACACGGCACUCACAAACAAACACACACACACACACACAUACACACACAAAAACAAACACGUACACACAAACUCAUGCAAACACACAAACACACACACACACACACACACACUCUAGAUUUCUAGAUAUUAUUCGAUUUUGGAUGUUACAUUAUCCACCAGUUAUGCUUUUUUGAGUUUUGUUUUAACAUUUCAGAUAGUUACGUUUCACUGAGUGUUGAGCCCUAUGUUACUGUCAAACGGAUCAGUCAAAACUGUCAGUUUGACUCCGUUUGAAGCAUAACAUCUAUAAAUAAAUGGUUGAUAUCAUUUUUUUGCUUUAUAAUUAUUACUUUUCCUAAUUUAAUGACCACUGGCAAACACAAAAAGUGCAAUAGUUCUUCCUCUGUUAUAUCCAGUAUUACUACACAGCCUAGGCUCUGUAAACUGGUAUGUAAACAGGCCCACCGUAGCUAGCAACAUGCCUGUUUACUAGGGCUGUAACGAUACACCAACUCACGAUUCGGUUUGUAUCACGAUUUUUGACCCACGGUUCGAUACAGCCCACGAUCUUUUUUAAAUUAAAAAGCAUUUUAUUUAAACAACACUUAUAUAACAAUUAACUUAAUGUAACAUUUAAUAACAAAUCAUUUGGAACACUGAACAGAUUCGAACAGAAAGAAUACUAUUAAAGUAUAGCUAAAUUAAUUAAUAAAUGACCAAAGAUUGCAGUUGGAGGAUGCUUGCACAGAUUCGAACAGAAAGAAUACUAUUAAAGUAUAGCUAAAUUAAUUAAUAAAUAACCAAAGAUUGCAGUUGGAGGAUGCUUGCAGGUAGGCAAAAACCCUCAACUAGUUUGGUUGUUUAGUCAAAUAUCCUAUAAGCGCUUCUUAUUAGGCUAUGUAGCUAAAAUAACGACAUAAUCAGGCCGUAUAGAAUGCAACAUGUUUAAUAGCCUAACUUUCAAUAGAUGCGAAAAAACAUGAACGUCAUGAACGUCGCGAGGCAUAGCGUUACGAGUAGCCUAUGUUUGUGCGCGAGAAUGGCAGUGUGCGCAUGUUUGUGUGUGAGUGACGUCAGCGAGUGAGUGGACGAGCGAGGAGAGCGAGCGGUAGCGUGUGUGUCUAGUGAAGAAGCGAACGAGUCCGGUAGAAUAAAGUACCCAUCCUGUCAAUAAUCGGUGGCCGCUUCAUUCCGACCUAUAAGCAGACCAACUGCCGGUCAAAUCACACAAAACAAUAGAGACAGCGAUCACACAGGCAAUUUUUUUCGUGCUUGGCCCACUCUGGAUAAAUGUCGUUCAUAUCGCAUAUGAGGACUUCGACGGCUGUGGAGAAGUACAAUCCUCCGUAGCCACCGAGAGCUGUCAUCACAGAGAGGGCAUCUCGUCGCAUACUUACGGCAUCGAUAGGAGGGGGCGGUGUCAGCAGACUAUUAUUUUGACAAAUUAUUAGCAAAUUUCAAUCGGACAAUUUGACCGGAGAGUUAGAAAGGGCGUAUCGCGCUUCUGCCUUCUCACACCGAGACAGGUUCGUGGCUGUUUACUACUGUUUACAGAGGCUGUGUAGUAAAUCUGGAUUUUUUUUAUUCAGGGAACACAAAGUAUGUACAGUUUCUCCUAAAUCAGUGUUCACAUCAAAGCUUUGACAACAUCCAUUAGGUUUUACACAAUUUGGCUUUAAAAAAAGAGUGAACGUAAACUGUUAAAUGUUUCAACAGCCCUCAUCUAUAAAUUAGAGGGGAAAAAGCAAGCCAGUUUAAAAUUGUGUUAAGUGUUAACAAAAGUGUAAAACUCAAAAUAUUUACAUUUCUUUUUCACCUUUUAUAAAUGUUAUUUGAUUUGCAUGGCAAGUUAUCACAACUGUUGAAAUGAGGUAAGUCAAGAAGGCCAUGGGAGAUGGUUUGAAAUGUUGUUUUUUUCCCGCUCCACAUCAAGAUCAUUCCAGUCCAGAUGUAAUGACGACCUUCGUCUUUUGGAGCCCGCUAACAAAACCAACGGGCCUCAUUAAUGUGGGCAGUCCAGCGAUAAACGAUUUGCUCCGAUACAAAAAAAUGACAGUUACAUGACAGACAUGGCCUAUUUAAGCCAGGGUGAGUGGGUUUAUGUCUCUAUGCAAAUCUCAAUUCAGUUCUUUCACAGGGAAAGAAAUUGUUCACAAAAC
rnacentral:lncRNA from 1 species